rnacentral:rRNA from 1 species
UGGGGAAUCUUGCACAAUGCGCGAAAGCGUGAUGCAGCAACGCCGCGUGGGGGAAGAAGGCCUUCGGGUUGUAAACCCCUUUCAGUUGGGACGAAGCUUCAGUGGUGAAUAGCCGCUUGGAGUGACGGUACCUUCACAAGAAGCCCCGGCUAACUACGUGCCAGCAGCCGCGGUAAUACGUAGGGGGCUAGCGUUGUCCGGAAUCAUUGGGCGUAAAGAGCGUGUAGGCGGCCCGGUAAGUCCGCUGUGAAAGUCGGGGGCUCAACCCUCGAAUGCCGGUGGAUACUGUCGGGCUAGAGUGCGGAAGAGGCGAGUGGAAUUCCUGGUGUAGCGGUGAAAUGCGCAGAUAUCAGGAGGAACACCAAUUGCGAAGGCAGCUCGCUGGGACGUAACUGACGCUGAGGAACGAAAGCCAGGGGAGCAAA